GUGUGACUGCGUACCUUUUGUAUAAUGGGUCAGCGACUUAUAUUCUGUAGCAAGGUUAACCGAAUAGGGGAGCCGAAGGGAAACCGAGUCUUAACUGGGCGUUAAGUUGCAGGGUAUAGACCCGAAACCCGGUGAUCUAGCCAUGGGCAGGUUGAAGGUUGGGUAACACUAACUGGAGGACCGAACCGACUAAUGUUGAAAAAUUAGCGGAUGACUUGUGGCUGGGGGUGAAAGGCCAAUCAAACCGGGAGAUAGCUGGUUCUCCCCGAAAGCUAUUUAGGUAGCGCCUCGUGAAUUCAUCUCCGGGGGUAGAGCACUGUUUCGGCAAGGGGGUCAUCCCGACUUACCAACCCGAUGCAAACUGCGAAUACCGGAGAAUGUUAUCACGGGAGACACACGGCGGGUGCUAACGUCCGUCGUGAAGAGGGAAACAACCCAGACCGCCAGCUAAGGUCCCAAAGUCAUGGUUAAGUGGGAAACGAUGUGGGAAGGCCCAGACAGCCAGGAUGUUGGCUUAGAAGCAGCCAUCAUUUAAAGAAAGCGUAAUAGCUCACUGGUCGAGUCGGCCUGCGCGGAAGAUGUAACGGGGCUAAACCAUGCACCGAAGCUGCGGCAGCGACGCUUAUGCGUUGUUGGGUAGGGGAGCGUUCUGUAAGCCUGCGAAGGUGUGCUGUGAGGCAUGCUGGAGGUAUCAGAAGUGCGAAUGCUGACAUAAGUAACGAUAAAGCGGGUGAAAAGCCCGCUCGCCGGAAGACCAAGGGUUCCUGUCCAACGUUAAUCGGGGCAGGGUGAGUCGACCCCUAAGGCGAGGCCGAAAGGCGUAGUCGAUGGGAAACAGGUUAAUAUUCCUGUACUUGGUGUUACUGCGAAGGGGGGACGGAGAAGGCUAUGUUGGCCGGGCGACGGUUGUCCCGGUUUAAGCGUGUAGGCUGGUUUUCCAGGCAAAUCCGGAAAAUCAAGGCUGAGGCGUGAUGACGAGGCACUACGGUGCUGAAGCAACAAAUGCCCUGCUUCCAGGAAAAGCCUCUAAGCAUCAGGUAACAUCAAAUCGUACCCCAAACCGACACAGGUGGUCAGGUAGAGAAUACCAAGGCGCUUGAGAGAACUCGGGUGAAGGAACUAGGCAAAAUGGUGCCGUAACUUCGGGAGAAGGCACGCUGAUAUGUAGGUGAAGCGACUUGCUCGUGGAGCUGAAAUCAGUCGAAGAUACCAGCUGGCUGCAACUGUUUAUUAAAAACACAGCACUGUGCAAACACGAAAGUGGACGUAUACGGUGUGACGCCUGCCCGGUGCCGGAAGGUUAAUUGAUGGGGUCAGCGCAAGCGAAGCUCUUGAUCGAAGCCCCGGUAAACGGCGGCCGUAACUAUAACGGUCCUAAGGUAGCGAAAUUCCUUGUCGGGUAAGUUCCGACCUGCACGAAUGGCGUAAUGAUGGCCAGGCUGUCUCCACCCGAGACUCAGUGAAAUUGAACUCGCUGUGAAGAUGCAGUGUACCCGCGGCAAGACGGAAAGACCCCGUGAACCUUUACUAUAGCUUGACACUGAACAUUGAGCCUUGAUGUGUAGGAUAGGUGGGAGGCUUUGAAGUGUGGACGCCAGUCUGCAUGGAGCCGACCUUGAAAUACCACCCUUUAAUGUUUGAUGUUCUAACGUUGACCCGUAAUCCGGGUUGCGGACAGUGUCUGGUGGGUAGUUUGACUGGGGCGGUCUCCUCCUAAAGAGUAACGGAGGAGCACGAAGGUUGGCUAAUCCUGGUCGGACAUCAGGAGGUUAGUGCAAUGGCAUAAGCCAGCUUGACUGCGAGCGUGACGG
rnacentral:rRNA from 1 species